rnacentral:rRNA from 1 species
AUUGAACGCUGGCGGCAGGCCUAACACAUGCAAGUCGAACGGUAACAGGAAGAAGCUUGCUUCUUUGCUGACGAGUGGCGGACGGGUGAGUAAUGUCUGGGAAACUGCCUGAUGGAGGGGGAUAACUACUGGAAACGGUAGCUAAUACCGCAUAACGUCGCAAGACCAAAAAGGGGGACCUUCGGGCCUCUUGCCAUCGGAUGUGCCCAGAUGGGAUUAGCUAGUAGGUGGGGUAACGGCUCACCUAGGCGACGAUCCCUAGCUGGUCUGAGAGGAUGACCAGCCACACUGGAACUGAGACACGGUCCAGACUCCUACGGGAUGCAGCAGUGGGGCAUAUUGCACAAUGGGCGCAAGCCUGAUGCAGCCAUGCCGCGUGUAUGAAGAAGGCCUUCGGGUUGUAAAGUACUUUCAGCGGGGAGGAAGGGAGUAAAGUUAAUACCUUUGCUCAUUGACGUUACCCGCAGAAGAAGCACCGGCUAACUCCGUG